rnacentral:sRNA from 1 species
UACAGGAGGCAUUAUGAUCUAUCUGUGUAUCCAUCAUCCAGGUGUUAUGACUCUCAUCUUUUCACUGGAACCUGCCAAGAAGGGUGAUUGUGACAUAUCACUGGACCCAGCACCUUGGUGAUGUGACUCUCCUCUCCUCUUGGGCCCUGCAUACAUUGUGUCUAUGGAAAUAUAGCUGGUCCAACACCUAGGACAAAAAAACUGGGAAAAACACAGGUUCCUUCAUUUACUGAAUGUUUGACAAAAUAUUCUUUUUGGACCAAAAACAUUGGCAUUACUGGUGAGCUUGUUAGAAAUUCAGCAACUCAGACUUUAUUCCAGAUUUUCUGAAAAAAUAAUCUGCAUUAACAAAAUCUUCAGUUCAUUGAACACAUUAAAAUGUGAGAGGGACCAUUGACAUUUACAGAUGUGGCCAUAGAAUUCUCUCUGGAGGAGUGGCAGUGCCUGGACACUGCACAACAGAACUUAUAUAGAAAUGUGAUGUUAGAGAACUACAGAAACUUGGUCUUCCUGGGUAUUGCUGUUUCUAAGCCAGACCUAAUCACCUGUCUAGAGAAAGAAAAAGAAUCCUGCAAUAUGAAGCGACAUGAAAUGGUGGAUGAACCCCCAGUUGUGUGUUCUCAUUUUGCUGAAGACUUUUGGCCAGAGCAAGACAUAAAAGAUUCUUUCCAAAAAGUGACACUGAGGAGAUAUGAUAAACGUGGACAUGAGAACUUACAAUUAAGAAAAGGCUAUAAAACUGUAGGUGAUUGUAAGCUAUACAAAGGAGGUUAUAAUGGACUUAACCAAUGUUUGACACUUACCCAGAGCAAAAUGUACCACUGCGAUAU